AAACCGUUCAGGGGUAAACCUGAGAAACCCAAAAGAUCGAAUGGGGAGAUUCAUCGUCAGCUCAUUUUGUAUAUAUGCAAGCUAUGAUAUGGGUUACUACUUGUAGUAUUGCCUGUACAUUCUUGUAUAUUUAUUUGCAAGAUGUUGUCGGCGUGCACUUCUCCCCUAGUAGGACGUCGCGACCCGUUGAGUGUCGGUCUACGGCCCAAGUGGGAGCUUUUAAUAAAUUUUAUUUAUUGAAAACCCUUGGUGUUUCCUGACUGGCACUCGGCGGUAUUCGUAUGGUAUUGAGCCGCAUAUUAUAUGCGUCCCUAUCCGUCGCAAGCGCGGUUAGUUACUGAUAGUGCGGACCUAGUGCCGUCGUUGGUGCUAAUCAGCUGUUGGUUGUAUGGAAUUCUAGGACUGGCUCGUUGAAAUACCGGUCGGCGAUGCUACUGCUUUGGGUACUUUCAGGA
rnacentral:rRNA from 1 species